rnacentral:rRNA from 1 species
UUGAUGGAGAGUUUGAUCCUGGCUCAGGACNNNNNNNNNNGGCGGCGUGCUUAACACAUGCAAGUCGUGCGGAGAUGUGCCGGAAGUUUACUUUUGGUGCAUCUUAGCGGCGGACGGGUGAGUAACACGUGAACAACCUACCCUAACGACCGGGAUAACACCGGGAAACUGGUGCUAAUACCGGAUACGCUCUGUUGGUGGCAUUACCUUCAGAGGAAAGUCGGCCUCUAUUUAUAAGCUGGCACGUUAGGAUGGGUUCGCGCCCCAUUAGC